rnacentral:sRNA from 1 species
UGCAUAAAUAAGUCGUUACCUAUGAUGCC